AAAAUGUAAUGCACAGUGAUUUGGCAAAAUAGAGGAUUUCCUGCAAUUCUUACAGCAGGGUUUAAAGUAGACAUUUUUAUAUAGACAAGACCAGCCUGGUGGUGAAAAGAAUCACAGCUGUAAACCUUGCUGCAGAAAUCUCUGAAAAUGUACGUUCAUUAGAAAAUGACAACAAAACAGUUAAGGAAGAAACCUCCAGCGGACACAAACGGACUACUGUGUAAUUGGGCUUUCCCCAAGCUGAAAUAAUCACUGCACACCAUACAUUCCAGAACAAAAUCAGUGACAUAAAACUAUUAUGUUGCCAAAGAAUCCCAAUUACCAGAGAGGAAAACUCUACAUUUCUUUCUCGAUUCACAAAAAUGCAUAUCUGGCAGUGGCAGCUUCUGACUGAUAUCCUCAAUGGCCAUAAUCUCAUAAAGUGCAUUCAAGGUAUUCUCCAACGUAUCAGAAUUGACGGAACACUCUUCUGAAACCACAACAGACUCAUCUUGAAAAUCCUCUGAAAAAUCAACCUAGAUACAUCCGAAUCCUCACUGCCAAUUGGCCUGGCCCUCUUCUGCCUAAAUUCCAUUUUAUCCUGCUCUGGCACAAAAACAUGCUUUAAGACAUUAACCAGCUCUGCUGUCUGAGGAGAGGGACAUUGCUCUGCCUGAAAUAAAUAUAUACAUACACAUUGCAUCCGGAAAGUAUUCACAGCGCUUAACUUUUUCCACAUUUUGUUAUGUUACAGCCUUAUUCCAAAAUGGAAUAAAUUAAUUUUUCCCCUCUAAAUUCUACACACAAUACCCCAUAAUGACGUGAUUUAGAUUUUUUGCAAAUUUAUUAAAAAUAAAAAACUAAGAAAUCACAUGUACAUAAGUAUUCACAUCCUUUGCCAUGAAGCUUAAAAUUGAGCUCAGGUGCAUCCUGUUUCCACUGAUCAUCCUUGAGAUGUUCCUACAGCUUAAUUGGCAUCCACAUGGGGUAAAUUCAGUUGACUGGACAUGAUUUGGAAAGGCACACACGUUUUCACGCAGCAGAGCGAACGGAUCCCUGCUGCGCAUGCACCUUUGUGCGUCUGCGGGACGGCUGUAGCAGGGUAGCAAUCGCCUGGGCGGAAGGGGGCGAAACAGCAGCGUUUUGGCUGCCUUUUCGUAGGCGUGGUCCGACCAACGCAUU